GCAAUGGGCGCAAGCCUGACGGAGCAAGACCGCGUGCGGGAGGACGGCCUAUUGGUUGUAAACCGCUUUUGAUAGGGAAGAAGCACUGACGGUACCUAUCGAAUCAGCAUCGGCUAACUCCGUGCCAGCAGCCGCGGUAAUACGGAGGAUGCAAGCGUUAUCCGGAAUUAUUGGGCGUAAAGCGUCCGUAGGUGGUUGUUCAAGUCUGCUGUUAAAGCGUGCGGCUUAACCGCAUACCAGCAGUGGAAACUGGGCGACUAGAGUGCGGUAGGGGUCAGGGGAAUUCCCAGUGUAGCGGUGAAAUGCGUAGAUAUUGGGAAGAACACCGGUGGCGAAAGCGCCU
rnacentral:rRNA from 1 species